UGCCCAGCAACUCCUAUCCCUACCUUCUCGUGGUACUGGCCGGGGUACGAGUAACCUUAGGGAAGAUCGGGUAAUCAACCCCGGUGGGAGUUUUGAUCGUAUGCUGACAGGGAAAG
rnacentral:ribozyme from 1 species